UGACAUCGAGAGCAGCAGCAUGGCAACAUUCGUCUCGUUGGCAACGUGUCAUCACUGUCCCAUCGUGACGUCUCGCCGAGGUUUGGUGUACCGAGAGUCUCUGUCGGUCCUGUCCAGGAACCUGAGGGCCCCCGGGGGCCCCUACCGAGUCCCUGCCCCCCGGCUGCUGCACAACAAACACCCCUGCAGACUCACCAGACCCGACCUCCCAGAAUCCUUUGCUCUAACUGGCUCCAAGGCUC